UCUUAAACCUGAUAGUAGCGGGCAUUCCGUCCCGAUUUUAUAUCGGGAUCAAGAGGGAUAAAGCGGAUGGCAGGGCUGCAU
rnacentral:sRNA from 1 species